GUUUAGACCUGGACCUACCGAGAACCAGAUUUGUGUACCGAACCCUGCUAUCCUUGACCUUACCUGCGGCCUGGGUGGACCAGGACAGCGAAAUAACUUUCAUUCUGGGCUGACUUUGGUGACAGUUUCCCACUUAAUUUGUGACAAACGCUCCUAACUUUGAAGAGGUUUGCCACAAUAUAUACUGCAAAAAAACACAGACAUACUCUACAGUAGAGCUAUAAUACAGCACAUAGCAGCCUCAGUCAUAAGUUUAAAUUGUAUUUAUUCACAUAGAAACGGACUUUCAAAGACAGAUAUAGGCAAUAGAGAGAUGUAGUGUGUAUUCUUUGGUAGCAUAUCACUGACAUUUUAUUCACAAUCCAUCUGUCUAUUUGCACAUGAAGAUAUAACUUCUCUCUGUCAGCUUUCUUUAUCAUACAAACAUACAUGUUUCUUUCUGUCAGCUUUCUUUAUCAUACAAACAUACAUGUUUCUUUCUGUCAGCUUUCUUUAUCAUACAAACAUACAUGUUUCUUUCUAUCAUAUUACAUUCAGAAGAUAUUCUGAAAAUAUAUUAUUCUGCUGUAAAUCCACUGGGGUUGUGCCAUGCCCCUGCUUCUGUUGACUGGCUGGGACAAAAGACAGACUGUCCCCAGUGUGCAGGAAGAGGCCCUCAAGCCUUGAUUCAGUUUGCUUUCCUGUUCUGGUUCCCCUUUCCACCCCAACCCCGCUAAUUCUUUCCUGUCUCUAUCUAAAUCCCUUUGUUAACAAGCUCCUGUCCGGUCCCGAUUCACUUCAUCUGACGCCAUAGAGCAAACACACAUUCUGUUUGUGCCGCACAAUGUUCCUUUUCUCUCUCGCUGUCUCUUUAACAGGCUUUACACAAGGUGAUGGUUGCAUGUUACAGAAAUUCUUUAGAGUUGAAAAAGGCGCAAUGUAUAUUUGAGAAAAUAAUGAAUAAUUGUGCAGUAAGUAACUGUGAAAUGCUGUAAUUAAAGAGUUUACAAAUAUACAAAAUAUCCCAUAAAUUUCAAUGUUGAAGUCAUUGUAAAAGUAUAAAAC
rnacentral:lncRNA from 1 species